GAGCCCGUGAAUCCGGGCGGCGGAAUUCAGAAUCGACGGGCUCUCGGCGAGUAGUCCGUCUGUUUGAUAUUUCCGUCGCCGUUUGCACGGACGUCGCGACCUGUUCGACGUCGGUCUUUAGUUGCGCAGGAACCGCGAUCGAGUUCGUUGUCGGAGCGUGCGCUCGCCGUACGCCUCGACGGCGAAGACGCGGACUUCUGGCCGACUGGUCGGACAGUAUGUCAACGGGGGUGUCCGGCGUCGUCCUCUCGCGGUGGCGCCGGUGCCGGUCAGCGACGAAUCUUCGGGUCUCUUUCCGACC
rnacentral:rRNA from 1 species